GUUCAAUCUAGCUGCCGUGAAACACUGAGGUACUAUCCACCACUUGGAUGCCAAGGUGUUGUAUGGGUGGAGAUUGAAGACUUCCACUGGAAAUACAUUUAUGGGUACAGUCAAAUGGAACUUGUCCAUGAGGACCACGUAUUCUUCUUUCCAGGCUCCCAUAUUCUCUCCUGACACGCUAAGAAAUGAAAGCCUGCUCCUUCAGUGCUGAUUGAGCCUUCUAAGUAAAACAAGUGAAUUCUUCUUUUUUGACCACUUUACUGCAAAGACCAAGAGUUGUUACUUCUGAUCACAUGUGGGUGCUGAGAAGGCUGCUAGGAUCAUUUGACUAUGGAAGACAACAGAAUGGUGAAGCUGGGAUGAUCAUGUGGAUCAUUCUGGAAGAGAGGAAAGCCCAAAGACAUUUCCCAAGGCCUUGCAACUAGUUUUUGGCUUAUCCAGAAUACUUAACUCCAGGGUGACUUAGGUUGCCAUUUACUAAUAGGUGCAACUUGUGUGAAAGGAUGAGCAUUUUGAAGAACUGGGUGAAAACUCAGUUGGAAAAGCACAGGAAGCCUCUAAAUGAGAGACAGCUGAGUUGGGACAAGCACACAGAGUGCAGACUAAACUACGCCCGUGCAAGGUGCAGACAUCUUCUCAGCCACUCUAUCCACGAAUGCUGUCUGGUGGCAUCCAAGCAUAGCCAAACAUUCAGAUGGAAAAUGAAGAAUCCAGAACAUCUCCCAGAUGCCCCAGGUAUCUGCAUUCUUGGAAAGAAGGAAACCGACUUUCAGAUGAAAACAUCACAUUUCUCUGAAGAAAAUGCCUUUGGUUUUAGUUUGAAGAGGGUUGGCCUCCUGCUGUACUUGAAAAAAAAAUCUCACUUUUAAAACACAAGCAACAGAUGAAUAACCUUUUCCUUCAUCAUGUCUAGUGAUUAAAGCAUACGGUUCUCAGUUUAAAUAAGAUCGUAAACUAUCUUCACUAUAGGUUCAUGUUUGAGAAUUAUUUCAUGAGCUGUUGGCAAUUCAGCAUCUGCUAGAGGUUUGUUCAAACAUCUCAUAUUCAUUUAGGAUUUUAGAUUUUUUUUUUCUAAAUCAGCUGGGCCAUUUACUC
rnacentral:lncRNA from 1 species